GUGGUCAACAGAGGGAGGCAAAACCGCGAGGUGGAGCAAAUCCCUAAAAGCCAUCCCAGUUCGGAUUGCAGGCUGAAACCCGCCUGUAUGAAGUUGGAAUCGCUAGUAAUCGCGGAUCAGCAUGCCGCGGUGAAUACGUUCCCGGGCCUUGUACACACCGCCCGUCACACCAUGAGAGUCGGGAACACCCGAAGUCCGUAGCCUAACCGCAAGGGGGGCGCGGCCGAAGGUGGGUUCGAUAAUUGGGGUGAAGUCGUAACAAGGUAUC
rnacentral:rRNA from 1 species